rnacentral:rRNA from 1 species
AUUGAACGCUGGCGGCAGGCCUAACACAUGCAAGUCGAGCGAGUGGCGGACGGGUGAGUAAUGUAUGGGGAUCUGCCCGAUAGAGGGGGAUAACUACUGGAAACGGUGGCUAAUACCGCAUACUAUCGGAUGACCCCAUAUGGGAUUAGCUCGUAGGUGGGGUAAAGGCUCACCUAGGCGACGAUCUCUAGCUGGUCUGAGAGGAUGAUAAGCAACACGGGAACUGAGACACGGCCCAGACUCCUACGGGAGGCAGCAGUGGGGAAGAUUGCACAAUGGGCGCAAGCCUGAUGCAGCCAUGCCGCGUGUAUGAAGAAGGCCUUAGGGUUGUAAAGUACUUGCAGCGGGGAGGCGUUACCCGCAGAAGAAGCACCGGCUAACUCCGUGCCAGCAGCCGCGGUAAUAC